CCUAAGUGCAACGAUGAGUUUUCGCACUCAACUUUGAUCGUCCGUCUUAUUUGAAAACUUUUUAUAAUUAGUAUUUUUGUUGUUACGAGAUAAUAAAAUAUGAAUAGUACUUUAUGCGUAUGAAUAGUACUUUAUGCGUGACUUAUAUUUUUAUUUUUUUAAAUAAAAUUUUAAAUAAGACGGAUAAUCAAAGUUGAGCAUGGAAAAGCAUGACUGUAUUUAAA
rfam:Oryza sativa (indica cultivar-group) chromosome 6, whole genome shotgun sequence.